AGACUGGGCUCAAAGAGGCCAUCUUAAUUGCCCAAACUCACUCAGCUAAAAUUUGUAAGCUGAAACAAACCCGGUUCUCCCAAUGGCAGCUCUUCUUCCUACACUUGACUCUGAAAAGGCCGACGAUGAGUUCCAACACCACCUAUACACAGAUAAUACCCAGAAUUACAUCUCCAGCAGUGAACACUCCUCUGAGCGACUACAUUCAAGGAGCCAUCUUGAAGAGACCAGAACUCCAACUUUAAGGUUCUCUGCUCCAGCUGUCCUCUGUAAUACUCGUAGCCCCACAAAGAACUGGGAGCAUGUAGGAAAGUAUAGAGAAGCUCAAGAGAACACCAGCAUUAUAUCCUGCCACCCAUCCCAUAAUGGACUCUUUUAAAAGAAUGAAAACCACACCGGCAGGGUGCCUGGCUGAGCACCUGGAAAUCCCACCCCUGAGCUCACCUGGCUGCCUCGUUCUCCCAUUCCACAGGAAACACAUUUGCAAAUAUUCUGGUUACAGAGAGCUGCAUCUAUGGGUGGUGAUCCAAGCCUGGGGAUUCCGUGGAAAAGAGGACGCAGGAGAUGGUAAGGAAGUAUGGAUGCCCUCAGAGAAGGGAUCUGAUGAUAAGCUGUGGGGACUCUCCUGUAAACAACUCUCCCGGGCACUUUUCUGCAGCUAGAAAAUAAAUUUCUAUCUUACAGUUA